GCAAUUUACAUAAAUAUAGUUUUCAAUGCAUAGCAUAAAUAAAUUCAUAAAUUAUAUGAACUUCGUAUAUAAAGUCAUAAAUCAUUUGUUAUUCUUUUUAUAUCAUGAUUCUUAAUAAUUUUUUCAGACUAAAUAUUAAGAUCACUAUUAUACCCGUGACAUGACCAUAAUCAUGUACCAACUACUAUUAUCCAUUAGCAAGAUCAUAUACUAAUUAUUAUUAUCCAUUGAUAGGGUUGUAUGCCAAUUAUUAUUACCCACU
rnacentral:lncRNA from 1 species